AUACGUAGGGAGCGAGCGUUGUCCGGAAUUACUGGGUGUAAAGGGAGCGUAGGCGGGAGUGCAAGUCAGAUGUGAAAUACAUGGGCUCAACCCAUGGGCUGCAUUUGAAACUGCACUUCUUGAGUGAAGUAGAGGUAAGCGGAAUUCCUGGUGUAGCGGUGAAAUGCGUAGAUAUCAGGAGGAACACCGGUGGCGAAGGCGGCUUACUGGGCUUUUACUGACGCUGAGGCUCGAAAGCGUGGGGAGCAAACAGGAUUAGAUACCCUGGUAGUCCACGCUGUAAACGAUGAUUACUAGGUGUGGGGGGACUGACCCCUUCCGUGCCGCAGUUAACACAAUAAGUAAUCCACCUGGGGAGUACGGCCGCAAGGUUGAAACUCAAAUGAAUUGACGGGG
rnacentral:rRNA from 1 species